rnacentral:ncRNA from 1 species
CUUAUCAAGAGAGGCAGAGGGAACAGGACCGAAGAUGCCCGGCAACCUGUCAGUAUGACAAGGUGCUACUUCCUGCACGGCUUUUCAAAGAGCUGUGAAAGAUGAGA